CUACUAAUGUUUUUUAGUUAACCUUGAAUAUAUGAAAUAGUUGGUUCAUUGUUAAAUGUUCUUAGCCAGUCCCUUAGGUGAAGGAUGUAGAUUAUUUCGAUCUUUAUAUUAUCUUUAUAUCGAUCUUUAUAUUAAUGGGGUUUUUGGUUUUACAUAACCAAACAUUUUUGAAGUCCUCAAAUUAAUAUUGGAAAUAAUUACCAUUUCUCUGUACGUUUUAAACCGAUUGAACAUCCAAUAUAUCUAUAAAUUUUCAUGUCCAAUAUAUCUAUAAAUUGUCAUGUAACUAUCUUUGUCUGGUUCAAUACCAUUUCAUUAAGGUAUAUAAAAUGUAUGUAGAUGGCUAUUACUAUCUUAAUCUCAUGUUAUUUCAGAUAAGUCAUAUUUUAUAUUCCUAUUUCAAAUGCAAUGCCAUUAUUUGUUCAUGUUUUCAAACUCAAAAUAGUUCAAGGUUACCUGAGAUUAGUUUUUGUUCCAUUUUUAAUGGUUGUUUUUUUUUAUGUUAUUGCUUCUAAAAAGUUUUCCUCGAUUAUUUCUUCUUCUCUUUACUUUUGUUUACCGGUUUAUAUGAGAAAUCAAACGAAGUAUAUGUUUUUAGCCAUUUGGAAGAAAACUAACCCUCAUGUGAUGUCGUACCCACCUUGACUACCUAGGGAAGCCACCUGGACCUUAUUGCAGCUACCGCCAAGUCAAACUGGGAGUAUGUUUUGGGAACAAGCUUUUUGGGGGACAUUCCAGCUCCUUUUCGUCCUGCCACCUGGGCCUACGGGGGGGGCAUGGAGGUGCAUCAUAGUGAUGCUCAUUUUCUAGGAUGCAACCGCAACCUCGUUUGGGAACAUUUAGUGAGGAGUUUUAGUAACUAUUGGUUUUUUUAUAUUUCAGACUAUCUGUUAAAUACACUAUGUUUUUUUUCCAGAUUUAGGUUACCUCUGUUUUUUUUGACAUAUGUAUUUGUAUAUUAGAUUAUUUGGUUCCCAAACUUUGUAUCUACGGUAACUUCUUGUGCACAGGAAUAAGCCUAGAGAAAAUUAGGUUUUUAAUACUUUAUUAUUGCUUUGAUAUUGGUUUAUGUAAUUCGGGUAAAUUUAUUUUGUAACAUUACUUGCUUGUUUCCCAAAUAUUGUAUUUAUUCGCUUUAUUUCGUUUGUUCGGUUACUUCGUCGUUACUUUAUUUCAUUGCAUUUGCUCGGUUAAUUUAGGUCAUUUUGUCGGUAUUUUUCUUAACUUCACUUCUAUAACGUUUAUUCAUUUGUAUAUUUAAUUUUGCUUUAUUCAGUAUUGUAUUUUCUCUUAGUGAGGCUUGGGCCUAUUUAUUUGUAUUAUUUUCAUCUUCGUCGGUUUCCUUUAGUUGUACGUAGCAGGCGUACUAUAACCAUUUGGUAGAAGACUUAUGUAAUUUUGUACCCUAUAUGUAAGUAAGAGGUACUAAUACCUGUAAUUUUGUAACAGAUAACAUUAUUGUUGUUAUCUUAGAGAUGACUUUUUGUAUAACUUAUGUCAUUUUAGAGUCACAUGAUAUACACUUUGUGUAACUCAGAGAUUGUCAAAAAUCUAGUAGUUAUUUUUAAUAAAUAUGUAUUUAUUUUGUAUAUCAAUUAUUUUAUUAUUCCUUUAUGUUCAUUAUUACAGGUUUAAUAUAUUUAAUAUUGGAAAGCAGUGUAAGAUACCUGGGAAAAUGAUCGAAGAUCAUUUUCAUGGCGCCCAUGAUUAGUUAGUUUUAUUUAUUUUGUUCGUUUUUAGUCAUUAUUCAUCUCCAUUCAUUUUCAGUACAUUAUUCUUAUUUUAUUAUUUCAUCUUUUAGUCAUCAUUACUAUCUAUAUAGAGCUACUGUUCUUCGACAGGCAUGCAAACGAGCCGUAUCCAUCCUUGAGUGUCAAGUUGCUCUCUUGCAUCUAUAGCUAGCCAACUCUAUUCAGUUUGCCUCUGUCUCUUCCCACUUUACUUCUAUCCCUUAUAAUCCCCCUUUCUUCAGUACAACUGCAAAGUAGUAUUUUUUUUUAUUUUUUCCUAUUGCGGCUUCUCAACGUAGAAGCCACUUCACCCUUUUCUUACACAGCCCAUCUCUCUCUACAUCUAUGCACCAUUAGUUAUUUAUUUAUUUUUUACUUACUUCUGUUGGAGUAUAUCUAUCUUUUUACUUUCACUCCAACAGAAGUUUUCUUUUCAUUUUGUUACACUGGCUGCCCAAUGCGUGGUGCCAACCGUUUUUGGUUCUAAGACAGUAGUUCUUUUAGUUCAUUUUUAUUUUAUUGGAAUUUUCUGUAUUAUUACCUUUUUAAUAUCGUUGUAUACAUGUUACUUCUGAUUUAUUUUUGUCUUAAAUUUUAUUAAUACUAAACAGGUAGACUUAUACUGCUUUUCUUUGUUUUUGAUUAGUUUAUUUUCGAUACCUCAUUUUUAGUUUUAGUGGUACAGCUCAUAUUUUAGUUUGAAUUUUGUAUUUUUAUUGGAAACUUAUUUGUGUAUUUAGAAUGAGUAUACAUGACUGACAUUAUGUUCUAUUAUUAUGGAUUUUUAGUCCUUCUACCAAUGGUAGUAUGUUUGCACGUACAAUUAAUUAUUGACUAUAUGCAUAUAUUUUUUUUUCUAGUGUGGUUAUAUUUUACACCUAACUAGAAAUUAUUUUCAGUAUUUAGGUAUUUUAUUUACUUUAUUGAUUUGAUUAUUUAUAUAUUUUGCUGGCAUUUUUGAUUUGUUGGUGUGUCGCUAAUAUUUUCUCCAUAUGUAUCUUUGUCUUACAAACUUUAGAUUAUAUUUUAUAUUUGUUAUUUUUGAUAUUUGGGUUGUUUGGUAAGACAGGCCCACACCACAAAGCAAUAUCAGUCCAGACAUUAGUUUCUAUACAUGAUACGUUGAAUUCGCAUGGUUCAGAUGGUUACAGAUGGUCAUCCAAACUAUUUUUCUUUAAUUGGUAGUGUUAAACAUAACAAUUAUAAUUAUUGUAUAGUAAAGUAGUUCCAUUAUCCAUCUCAGUUUCUAGUUUUAUUAUUGUUGAUAAUAAUAUUAUAUCAAUGUGGGUACCAUAAUAUAAUGCUCAUAGAAAUCAGAUACUUUAGGUUGAGAUUUAAACAUAAAUCUUUUAUUAGUUAGAAACAUUGGUACUUUAUCUAUUAAGUUUAGAACAAUCCUCAGAAGAAGAUUAACUUAACGGUGUCGUUCAAGCUAAUCUCUUCUUCUGUUUGUCUUUAGCUUAGCUCAAUCGUUAGUAUGGUUAGAAAUUUUAGUCUGAUUUUUUUUUACCAUCUGAUAAUGCAGGUACCUACAUACAUUGCUUGAUUUCAUCUUUGGCUUUGUUGUUGAUGACUUUAUUUAUGAAUUUAUUACUUAUUGGUUUAAGUAUUAUGUAGUACUUUAUGUAUGAGUUUAUUUUUUUUUUUUUGGUAUUAUACAUGAUGCAUUUUAAUUAUUAUUAUGAGUCAAUAUUAUUAAUUGCUAAUCCUGUCAGUAGGAUUAUCCAAUUAAUAAAAACUUCACUUGUAUUUUUGUCUAGUUUUUGCACACCUAACCCUAAGUUAGAAGAGUUGUUGAUUAUUAUGAUAUUUAGGUAUAUAUUGGGAUAGGUAAGCUCAUACAAGUACUCUUGUUUAAUAAUGGAUAUUAUGAUGGAACUAUGUUAACUACCAUAUCUCAGGUUAUAUCAUUUUGAAUAUUUGAUUACUUACUAAUUUUUUAUUAUUUUUAUAUCUUGUUAUUGGAUUUGCCAUUUUGGAAAGAUGGUGUAUUUUUUAAUUUGUUAUUAGGUUACUCUAUUGACAUUUGUCUCCAAUAUCUUAAACACUUUAUAAUAAUUUAUAUCCUUCUAUCCUACACAGUAUGAUUCUGGAAUUAGUUUGGAAUUUUGAUGUAAGUAUGUAUGAAUUCUUGAGUCUUCCAUAUUUCUACUUAUGAAUUAGUCUGUUGAUACUCUGAUUUGUGAAUGCGUGGGUUCGAAGUUGUUGUUCGGUAACUGGCCAGUGCUGUUCGAUUAAAUUUCGUAAUCUAUGUCUUUCAUGGCUGAGUAUGCAGAUGUUUAUUUAUCAUAAUAUUUCUGGUCAGGAAAUGUCUGCAACAGGUCCUAAUCAUUCUAGUGUUAGUCCAAUUAUUCCAGUUACAUUUUUACCCUUUGAUAGGGAAGUGUUUAGUUGAUAUUACGUCUCGUACUUCAUAGUAUGUCUGUUUGUUGACUAUCCCUAUACAUCGUAGAUCCCUUAAUUUAGUAUUUGAGGUGUUUAGACAAAUGAGUUGUUCAUUUGAGUAUAUUCCCACUUCUUUCCUUAGGCAUUAGUUUUGUUAUUUAGAUUUUUGAACAUUUCCUGAAUAAUUCCACGUAUGUGAGAGCGCAUGAAUCUGCAGUUUUAAUUAAAAUUGGUUGCCCGUUCUCGUCAAUUUUUUUUUCCUAUCACCUAUCACAUAUUUUUUUUCCUAUCACUUAUCAUAGUGUCAUAAAACUUAUGAGUUCAUCAUUUAUUCUUUUUCUUUCUUACUUAUUCUUACAUUAUUAGUACCUUAUCUGAGUCUGGUUAUUCUCAUACAUCUGUUGUAGCAACAUGCUAUAGUUCGCGAAUACCAGCAUGAAUUAAGUUAUGUAUUUUCUAGAAUACUUUAGUCAAUACACUUUAGGUAUUUAUCUUACCUUUGAUUUAGUUUGGUUACAUCUCUGUUACUUAGUCUGUUAGUAAUUUUUUUCUGACUUAUUUUGGAUUACUUAGUUCAGAUAGGUUCAUAUUACCGGAUGAGGGUGUAUGUAGACCUAAUUUAUUUAUUUUGUUCAGUAUUAGUUACCAUUGGAUCCAAUAAUUUAGUUUAUGUAGUAUUAGUAAGGAUUGGUCCAUAAAUUUGCCUGAUCGUUCUUCUUUGGAUAUACUCCUAUAUAAAUCUGGUGUCCAUUGAUAGUCCGAUUCUGGAUAAGUGUCUGAUUCUUCAUUUAUUUUGUGUAUUUAGUUGGAUAGGUUCGUAUUACCGGAUGUGGGUGUACGUAGACCUGAUCUGUUAUGUGGUUUAGUAUUGGUGUGAAUUGGUCCAUAAAUUAAAUUGGUUCUUCUUUGGAUAUACUCCUAUAUAAAUCUGGUGUCCAUUGAUAGUCCGAUUCUGGAUAAGUGUCUGAUUCUUCAUUUAUUUUGUGUAUUUAGUUGGAUAGGUUCGUAUUACCGGAUGUGGGUGUACGUAGACCUGAUCUGUUAUGUGGUUUAGUAUUGGUGUGAAUUGGUCCAUAAAUUUGCCUGGUCGUUCUUCUUUGGAUAUGCCUUUUAUGAAUCUGGUGUCCACUGAUAGUUCGACUUUGGAUUAAGUGUCCGAUUCCACAUUUAUUUUGGUUAUUGAGUUUUGGAUUCCUUUGGUAUGUUUAUUAUUGGUAUUAUUUGACAUUAGUGAGAAUUGUUCCAUAAAUCUUCCUGAUUGUUCUUCUCUGGAUAUACUAUUAUGAAUCUGGUGUCCAUUGUUAGUUCAGUUUUGGAUAAAGUGUUCAAUUCUUUACCUAUUUUAGUUACUGAUUUUUUUUAUUCACUUUGGUACAUUUACUUUUGAUAUGGUUCGAAUUGGCUCACACCUUUUCCUGGUUGUUCCGUUCUUGGAUAUACCCUUUAUAAAUCUGAUGUCCAUGGAUAGUUCAAUUUUGGUUUUAGUGCCCAAUUCGACACUCAGUUAUUAUUAUGAACUUAAGUACAAUAUUUAGUUUUGUUUUGACUUUUGAGCAAUAUAUGUUAAUAUUUGGUAACAGAGAGUAACAUAGUAACAUUUUAGUAUGAGUUUGAGUCAUGUAUUGAUUUAUUUUUCCUUGACCAUUAGUUUAUAUUUAGAAGUAAUCUUGCGAAUCAACGUGGAUUGUUAGACUAUUGUAAAUUUAGUUGUUAAUAUUUUGAAGUUAAAAAAAAAAAAAUUUUUUUUGGUUAAAAAUUUUUUUUUUCCCGAGUAGGAGGGGAUUGUAACGGUCCACCCGUUAUAUUAUCAUUUUUAGCGCUGUAAUUAUUUUUAAAAAAAUAAUUAUUUUCUCUUGACCUCCCAUUUAAAUUCUUUAAUUUAUCGUAAAGGACUUCUCAUGUGACGUCACACUGUACGGAACAUAGUUGUUGAACCGUUCCUUGUCGUUUAAUUCGUGUUCCGUGAGAGUUUGACGUUUUCCUCGCUGACUGUGGGAGGAAUGAGAGGCACUUGGCCGGUGGCUGCGAGGUUGACAGGUUGGUGUUGGUGGUUAGUACCGUAAAUGGCGGUUAAUUUCUUCGAAAUUAAUUUUUAUUUCAACUAAGUUUGGAAGUAUAGUAAAAAGUUACCACCACUUGUUUCCUGGAGUACGGGUUUCCUGGAGUAAGGAUGGGAGUACCAUCAGUGGAAGAGGAAUAAAAAAUUAACCGCCAUUUGGAAGAAAACUAACCCUCAUGUGAUGUCGUACCCACCUUGACUACCUAGGGAAGCCACCUGGACCUUAUUGCAGCUACCGCCAAGUCAAACUGGGAGUAUGUUUUGGGAACAAGCUUUUUGGGGGACAUUCCAGCUCCUUUUCGUCCUGCCACCUGGGCCUACGGGGGGGGCAUGGAGGUGCAUCAUAGUGAUGCUCAUUUUCUAGGAUGCAACCGCAACCUCGUUUGGGAACAUUUAGUGAGGAGUUUUAGUAACUAUUGGUUUUUUUAUAUUUCAGACUAUCUGUUAAAUACACUAUGUUUUUUUUCCAGAUUUAGGUUACCUCUGUUUUUUUUGACAUAUGUAUUUGUAUAUUAGAUUAUUUGGUUCCCAAACUUUGUAUCUACGGUAACUUCUUGUGCACAGGAAUAAGCCUAGAGAAAAUUAGGUUUUUAAUACUUUAUUAUUGCUUUGAUAUUGGUUUAUGUAAUUCGGGUAAAUUUAUUUUGUAACAUUACUUGCUUGUUUCCCAAAUAUUGUAUUUAUUCGCUUUAUUUCGUUUGUUCGGUUACUUCGUCGUUACUUUAUUUCAUUGCAUUUGCUCGGUUAAUUUAGGUCAUUUUGUCGGUAUUUUUCUUAACUUCACUUCUAUAACGUUUAUUCAUUUGUAUAUUUAAUUUUGCUUUAUUCAGUAUUGUAUUUUCUCUUAGUGAGGCUUGGGCCUAUUUAUUUGUAUUAUUUUCAUCUUCGUCGGUUUCCUUUAGUUGUACGUAGCAGGCGUACUAUAACCAUUUGGUAGAAGACUUAUGUAAUUUUGUACCCUAUAUGUAAGUAAGAGGUACUAAUACCUGUAAUUUUGUAACAGAUAACAUUAUUGUUGUUAUCUUAGAGAUGACUUUUUGUAUAACUUAUGUCAUUUUAGAGUCACAUGAUAUACACUUUGUGUAACUCAGAGAUUGUCAAAAAUCUAGUAGUUAUUUUUAAUAAAUAUGUAUUUAUUUUGUA